rnacentral:lncRNA from 1 species
UCCUUAUUUACAUGCAUACUUUACAUACAAUAUUUUUCUAACAAAUCUACUCAAAGAAAACACUAUAAAUACUACAUAGAUAACUGUAGAGGUUCAAAACUUAAGAAGGCCAAAAUUAAAGAUCCAAUAGGCUUCAAAAAGACAAAAAGAAAAAACUGAACUAACAAAAAAAAUGUGGAUAUAUCCUUCAUUUUUGUUGAGAGAUAUCCGGAUCAUGUAGUAUAAACUGCUAGUUCUGGGUAGGAUUUGGGACAGAGGGUGGUGCUUUCCUCAGACUUGGCUCUACAGCUUUCUUGGGCUCUUUCAUGGCUCCAUUCAACUUGUUUUCACCAGCAGGAAACGAAGCCACGGCUGACAGUAGUUUUCUUGACAUCUGAUAUCUUUCUCCGGGAGGAACUUCUCCAUGGCAGAGACACAACGGUGAGCACAUGAUGAGGAUGUGAACUAGAAUUAAGGCAACGAAAGCAGUCAAAUUUAUGGAACUGAUCUUCAUCAGAGUGGAGUUC